CACGCACACACGCGCGGCAUAUCAAUAAGCGGAGGAAAAGAAACUAACAAGGAUUCCCUUAGUAACGGCGAGUGAAGCGGGAAGAGCUCAAAUUUGAAAUCUUCAAGGUUCUACCUUGACGAAUUGUAGUUUAUAGAAGUGUUUUCUGUUAGUAGAGUGGCAAAAGUUCUUUGGAAUAGGACAUCAUAGAGGGUGAGAAUCCCGUAUUUGGUCAUUCUUUCUAGCUUUGUGAUACACUUUCAACGAGUCGGAUUGUUUGGGAAUGCAGUCCAAAAUGGGUGGUAAAUUUCAUCUAAAGCUAAAUAUUGGCGAGAGACCGAUAGCGAACAAGUACCGUGAGGGAAAGAUGAAAAGAACUUUGAAAAGAGAGUUAAACAGUACGUGAAAUUGUCAAAAGGGAAGCGUUUGACACCAGUGUUGUUUUUCCGAAAAUCAAUUACGAAUGUUUUAUUUUUGAGAAGUUAUGACUUCAUCGGCUUGCUUCUCUCUUUAUGAAACUUUCUUAAUGCACUUUUCGGUUAACAAGUCAACAUCAAUUUCUUUUGUUGUAAAAGGGUAUGAGGAAGGUGGCUUUCUUUUCGGAGAAAGUGUUUAUAGCCUUGUACCUCUGCAAUCGGAGAGAUUGAGGUCUGCAGCGUAGAUCCUUCGGGGUUAGAUACAUUUGUGCUAAGUUAUAGCUUUUCAUAGACAACUUGUUGACUAUGUUUAGUCUUGUAGCUUACUCGCUUAUGCUAUUUUACCUACGCUUAGGAUGUUGAUAGUCACAGCGUGUA
rnacentral:rRNA from 1 species